AUACACGCGUCGGGAGAGACUCGGUUGAUUGCAGCCGGGCGCCGAAGGUGCAACCGCCCCGGAAACUCUCAGGCAAAAGGACCGGCGUGUGUGA
rnacentral:ncRNA from 2 species